ACAAAAACAAAAACAAAAACAAAAACCUUUCUGGUAAAAAAAUAAAAUAAAUUGAGAAAAAAGGGAGAAAGGAUGUUUUGUGUGUGCCAGCUAUGACUUUGGUACUAUUCUUAUUUUACAGGAGAGAGAACCAAAACUCAGUGAACAAGUGAUCCUCUGGAGCUCUCCAUAUGUGCCAUAGCUAUGCAUCUUCUGGACUUCCUUCUGCUCCCGAUGCACAGAAUCCUAAUCCUGCUCCUUCUUCCUCCAGCUGCCAAGUUCACAGAUUCCUCUGAAUUCUACACAUGAGCCCCUUCAGGUUAUUAACCCACAGGAAUCUCCACCCACAGCCCUUCCCGCUUCCAAGGUCAAGUUCUCUACAUAUGACCCUCCUCUGGCCUCCCCUCCCCUCGGAUUGGCCAAAGCUGACCAGAGACUGGCCCCAGCUUCCAGAGAACCGAGCUCCGACAGCAAGAACCUCUCUGGAACUUGAAGUCAGAUGAAGGGCUGCUCCCUCUCUUCAUUAGAAUCAGCUUGAGGGAGUCUCCGUUUUCAAAAUCAGAAGAGAGCCCUGCGUCGUCAGUAUCACCAACAGCACGUUCAGAUGAGGAAGAUGAAGUUCAAGAAACGUGAGUUACUUGCUUAGGCCUCCAGGGCUAGGAAUCCUUUUUUGAUGAAGAGAGAGAUGAUGGCUUUGAUGGCCUUUAUUAUUUCUGUUUUUAUUUUAUUUUAUUUAUUUAUUUAUUUUUUGUCUUUUUGUCUU